AUACGGAGGGUGCAAGCGUUACUCGGAAUCACAGGGCGUAAAGCGCGCGCAGGCGGGCUGAUAAGUUGGAUGUGAAAGCCUACGGCUCAACCGUAGAACUGCAUCCAAAACUGUCAGUCUAGAGUGUGGGAGAGGAAGAUGGAAUUAGUUGUGUAGGGGUAAAAUCCGUAGAGAUAACUAGGAAUACCAAAAGCGAAGGCAAUCUUCUGGAACACUACUGACGCUGAGGCGCGAAGGCGUGGGGAGCAAACAGGAUUAGAAACCCUAGUAGUCC
rnacentral:rRNA from 1 species